UACGGAGGGGGCUAGCGUUGUUCGGAAUUACUGGGCGUAAAGCGCACGUAGGCGGCUUUGUAAGUUAGAGGUGAAAGCCCGGGGCUCAACUCCGGAACUGCCUUUAAGACCGCAUCGCUUGAAUCAUGGAGAGGUCAGUGGAAUUCCGAGUGUAGAGGUGAAAUUCGUAGAUAUUCGGAAGAACACCAGUGGCGAAGGCGACUGACUGGACAUGUAUUGACGCUGAGGUGCGAAAGCGUGGGGAGCAAACAGG
rnacentral:rRNA from 1 species